UGAACGCUAGCGACAGGCCUAACACAUGCAAGUCGAGGGCAGCACGAAUCAAGCUUGCUUGAUUUGGUGGCGACCGGCGCACGGGUGCGUAACAGGUGUGCAAUCUGUCCAUAAUCGGGGAAUAGCCCAGCGAAAGUUGGAUUAAUGCUCCAUGUGAGUUUUAGAGGCAUCUCUUAAUUUGAAACGCAAGGAUUAUGGGUGAGCACGCUUCUGAUUAGGUAGUUGGUGAGGUAACGGCUCACCAAGCCGACGAUCAGUAGGGGUUCUGAGAGGAAGGUCCCCCACAUUGGAACUGAGACACGGUCCAAACUCCUACGGGAGGCAGCAGUGAGGAAUAUUGGUCAAUGGACGAAAGUCUGAACCAGCCAAGUCGCGUGAAGGAUGAAGGUUCUAUGGAUUGUAAACUUCUUUUGUCUGAGGGUAAAAAGCGGACGUGUCCGUUCUUGCAAGUAUCAGACGAAUAAGCAUCGGCUAACUCCGUG
rnacentral:rRNA from 1 species